rnacentral:rRNA from 1 species
AUGAACGCUGGCGGCGUGCCUAAUACAUGCAAGUCGAGCGAACGGACGAGAAGCUUGCUUCUCUGAUGUUAGCGGCGGACGGGUGAGUAACACGUGGAUAACCUACCUAUAAGACUGGGAUAACUUCGGGAAACCGGAGCUAAUACCGGAUAAUAUUUUGAACCGCAUGGUUCAAAAGUGAAAGACGGUCUUGCUGUCACUUAUAGAUGGAUCCGCGCUGCAUUAGCUAGUUGGUAAGGUAACGGCUUACCAAGGCAACGAUGCAUAGCCGACCUGAGAGGGUGAUCGGCCACACUGGAACUGAGACACGGCCCAGACUCCUACGGGAGGCAGCAGUAGGGAAUCUUCCGCAAUGGGCGAAAGCCUGACGGAGCAACGCCGCGUGAGUGAUGAAGGUCUUCGGAUCGUAAAACUCUGUUAUUAGGGAAGAACAUAUGUGUAAGUAACUGUGCACAUCUUGACGGUACCUAAUCAGAAAGCCACGGCUAACUACGUG